AGAACUUAGCAGAGAUGCUUUUGGUGCCUUCGGGAACUCUGAGACAGGUGCUGCAUGGCUGUCGUCAGCUCGUGUUGUGAAAUGUUGGGUUAAGUCCCGCAACGAGCGCAACCCUUAUCCUUUGUUGCCAGCGGUCCGGCCGGGAAACUCAAAGGAGACUGCCAGUGAUAAACUGGAGGAAGGUGGGGAUGACGUCAAGUCAUCAUGGCCCUUACGAGUAGGGCUACACACGUGCUACAAUGGCGCAUACAAAGAGAAGCGACCUCGCGAGAGCAAGCGGACCUCAUAAAGUGCGUCGUAGUCCGGAUUGGAGUCUGCAACUCGACUCCAUGAAGUCGGAAUCGCUAGUAAUCGUGGAUCAGAAUGCCGCGGUGAAUACGUUCCCGGGCCUUGUACACACCGCCCGUCACACCAUGGGAGUGGGUUGCAAAAGAAGUAGGUAGCUUAACCUUCGGGAGGGCGCUUACCACUUUGUGAUUCAUGACUGGGGUGAAGUCGUAACAAGGUAAGCGUAGCGAG
rnacentral:rRNA from 1 species